rnacentral:misc_RNA from 1 species
GAACGCACAUUGCGCCCCCUGGCAUUCCGGGGGGCAUGCCUGUCCGAGCGUCAUUUCUGCCCUCAAGCACGGCUUGUGUGUUGGGUGUGGUCCCCCCGGGGACCUGCCCGAAAGGCAGCGGCGACGUCCGUCUGGUCCUCGAGCGUAUGGGGCUUUGUCACUCGCUCGGGAAGGACCUGCGGGGGUUGGUCACCACCAUAUUUUACCACGGUUGACCUCGGAUCAGGUAGGAGUUACCCGCUGAACUUAAG